UACGUAGGCAGCAAGCGUUGUUCGGAGUUACUGGGCGUAAAGAGUGCGUAGGUGGUGCCCUAAGUCUGUUGUGAAAUCUCCCGGCUUAACUGGGAGGGUGCGGUGGAAACUGGGGUGCUUGAGUGUGGGAGAGGUAAGCGGAAUUCCUGGUGUAGCGGUGAAAUGCGUAGAUAUCAGGAGGAACACCGGUGGUGUAGACGGCUUACUGGACAGACACCGACGCUGAGGCACGAAAGCUAGGGGAGCAAACAGG
rnacentral:rRNA from 1 species